rnacentral:tmRNA from 16 species
GGGGGCGAAACAGGAUCGACAAGGGUGUAAAGAUCGCUCUUUUACUCGGCAUGAUACCACCGUUAUCGGGUCAACAGAGUAGUUGCAAAUGACAACAAUGCUCAGGGUUAUGCUCUCGCUGCCUAAUGGCGGUGCGGGAAACCCACUCUAAAGUCCUUAGGGUUAGCCCCUUUAGGCGGGGUUCGGAGGCACCUGGCAACAGAAGCCUCCACU